AAUAAGUUCGUUUUUAAAUUUUUGAAUACAACGUUUGACUCUUCGUCAUAUUUGUAAUUUUUUGCGAUUAAUAUUUUUAUUUUUAUUAGAUAAUAAAACACGAAUAAUACUCUUUUUAUUAUAUGAUAAAAUUUUUAAAUAAGACGGAUGGUCAAACGCUAGACACAGAAACC
rnacentral:pre_miRNA from 1 species